UACGAAGGGGGCUAGCGUUGCUCGGAAUGACUGGGCGUAAAGGGCGCGUAGGCGGUGCAUUUGGUCAGGCGUGAAAGCCCGGGGCUCAACCCCGGGAGGCGGGUGGAUACUGUCAAGCUCGAGUCCGGAAGAGGCGAGUGGAAUUCCUGGUGUAGCGGUGAAAUGCGCAGAUAUCAGGAGGAACACCAAUGGCGAAGGCAGCUCGCUGGGACGUGACUGACGCUGAGACGCGAAAGCGUGGGGAGCAAACAGG
rnacentral:rRNA from 1 species